UACAGAGGUCCCGAGCGUUGUUCGGAUUCACUGGGCGUAAAGGGUGCGUAGGUGGUGAGGUAAGUCGGAUGUGAAAUCUCCGGGCUUAACCCGGAAAUGGCAUUGGAAACUACCUUGCUAGAGGAUUUGAGGGGGGAUUGGAAUACUUGGUGUAGCAGUGAAAUGCGUAGAUAUCGGGAGGAACACCAGUGGCGAAGGCGGCUUCCUGGACCGGUUCUGACACUGAGGAGCGAAAGCGUGGGGAGCGAUCCGG
rnacentral:rRNA from 1 species